AGGUAAAUCCGCUGAGCUUGCUGAACUUGAUAGUACCACAACGCUUCGGCAGCGUGGAUACUGGACCUAAUCAGACUUCCAACAAAAACCUCUAAACAUAUGUAUAUGGUACCUGUACCGCAAACCGACACAGGUAGUCAAGGAGAGAAUCCUAAGGUGCUCGAGUGAUUCAUGGCUAAGGAACUAGGCAAAAUGGCCCUGUAACUUCGGGAGAAGGGGCGCCUCCUCAUGCUUGCAUGAGAGGCCGCAGUGAAUAGGCCCAGGCGACUGUUUAGCAAAAACACAUGGCUUUGCGAAAUCGAAAGAUGAUGUAUAAGGCCUGACACCUGCCCGGUGCUGGAAGGUUAA
rnacentral:rRNA from 14 species